AGUGAACGCUGGCGGUAGGCCUAACACAUGCAAGUCGAACGGCAGCACAGUAAGAGCUUGCUCUUACGGGUGGCGAGUGGCGGACGGGUGAGGAAUACAUCGGAAUCUACUUUUUCGUGGGGGAUAACGUAGGGAAACUUACGCUAAUACCGCAUACGACCUACGGGUGAAAGCAGGGGAUCUUCGGACCUUGCGCGAUUGAAUGAGCCGAUGUCGGAUUAGCUAGUUGGCGGGGUAAAGGCCCACCAAGGCGACGAUCCGUAGCUGGUCUGAGAGGAUGACCAGCCAAACUGGAACUGAGACACGGUCAAGACUCCUACGGGAGGCAGAAGUGGGGAAUAUUGGACAAUGGGCGCAAGCCUGAUCAAGCCAUACCGCGUGGGUGAAGAAGGCCUUCGGGUUGUAAAGCCCUUUUGUUGGGAAGAAAAGCAGCAGGUUAAUACCCCGCUGUUCUGACGGUACCCAAAGAAUAAGCACCGGCUAACUUCGU
rnacentral:rRNA from 1 species